UGACACUUGCAGGGCAAGGGACAAGGGAAGAAUUUAUUGAUUUUAAAUGGACCACUAUUGCCCGGAAAUGUGUCACUCGUUCAUACAAAGGAUGUGUUUUCAGGCAUCAUGGAACUGUUAUGUGUGCCUUAUAUGUGCUACAGUCAAUUAUGAUUGCAUUUCAUAUUUUGUCUAGAAGACAACGCCUCCGCAGACAUCGAAUGUUAGCCAUCCUAGUAUAUCAGGAUGGCCGCGGGGAUUUCCUCAAGUGCAUAAGGCGAGGCUAACUGGAGGAGUGUGUGUCUUUUAUGAGUUUGAAACGCAGCCUCGGUCUUCCAUAAACACGAGCUGUAACAUGGAUACAUGGCCGUGUGGGAACACUAGCCCUACCCCUAUAAAGGUUUAUCUGUACCCUUAGAUCUCCUCUUGUGUCUAGCCCUAUAAAUGCUGUCAAGAAAGCCUGCACAUACUGUAUGACCAGUCUACAUCAAGGUGAGGGGGAAGAAUCCACAUUUUGAGCUACAGAAAGGGACACCGGCAGGCUCAUCCUGGGAGCUCUAAUCCUAAAAGCAACAGUUCAAGACUCUGAGACCGUGGAUGGACGCACAACGGUACAGUGUAAGCACAGGUCAAAGAGCUUUUUUAGCACGUUGAGAUAAUGGCCUUGUUAUUCCCAGUAAGCAUAGUUGUGAAUGUAUCUAUUGAGUUUCGACAUUUGGCAAUGACCGUGACCAACAGUGCUCUAAGAAAGUAUUCACUGCCCUUGUUUCUCUGCUAAAACAGGAGCAAUAAAGGACUAGUUCACACAUUUUGUUGGGAGGAAUUUAAUAUUAUAUAUAUUUGUAUUUAUUUAUCAAGGACCUUCAGCACCCCUACUUCCCGUGGCUAUGAUUGAAUAUCCCUAUGAGUAUGGUGAAGUUAUUAAUUACACUUUGGUGUAUCAAUACACCCAGUAACUACAAAGAUAUAGGCAUCCUUCCUUACUCAAUUGCCGCUCUGGGAUUUCACCAUAAGGCCAAUGGUGACUUUAAAAGAGUUAAAGAGUUUAAUGGCUGUAAUAGGAGAAAAUUUAGGAUGGAUCAACAACAUUGUUGAAUAUCGGCUAUGAAAAGCCAACUGACAUUUAUUCCUGAUUAUUAUUUGACCAUGCUUGUCAUUUAUGAACAUUUUGAAAAUCUUGGCUCUCUAAUUCUCUCCUUCUCUCUUUCUUUCUCUCUCUCGGAGGACCUGAGCCCUAGGACCAUACGUCAGGACUACCGGGCAUGAUGACUCCUUGCUGUCCCCAGUCCACCUGGCCUUGCUGCUAUUCCAGUUUCAACUGUUCUGCCUGCGGUUAUGGAACUCCUACCUGUCCCAGACCUGCUGUUUUCAACUCUUAAUGAUCGGCUAUGAAAAGCCAAAUUACAUUUAUUCCUGAUUAUUAUUUGACCAUGCUUGUCACUUAUGAACAUUUUGAACAUCUUGGCCAUGUUCUGUUAUAAUCUCCACCCGGCACAGCCAGAAGAGGACUGGCCACCCCUCAUAGCCUGGUUCCUCUCUAGGUUUCUUCCUAGGUUUUGGCCUUUCUAGGGAGUUUUUCCUAGCCACCGUGCUUCUACACCUGCAUUGCUUGCUGUUUGGGGUUUUAGGCUGGGUUUCUGUACAGCACUUCGAGAUAUUAGCUGAUGUAAGAAGGGCUAUAUAAAAUAAACUUGAUUUUGAUUUGA